GACGAACGCUGGCGGCGUGCCUAAUACAUGCAAGUCGAACGCACUCUCGUUUAGAUUGAAGGAGUUUGCUCCUGAUUGAUAAACAUUUGAGUGAGUGGCGGACGGGUGAGUAACACGUGGGUAACCUGCCCUAAAGUGGGGGAUAACAUUUGGAAACAGAUGCUAAUACCGCAUAAAACCUAACACCGCAUGGUGUAGGGUUGAAAGAUGGUUUCGGCUAUCACUUUAGGAUGGACCCGCGGUGCAUUAGUUAGUUGGUGAGGUAAAGGCUCACCAAGACCGGGUUGCAUAGCCGACCUGAGAGGGUAAUCGCCCCAACUGGGACUGAGACACGGCCCAGCCCCCUAGGGGAGGCAGCAGUGGGGAAUCUUCCACAAUGGAGGAAAGUCUGAUGGAGCAACGCCGGGGGAGGGAAGAAGUUUUUGGGAUGGUAAAACCCUGUUUUUGGAGAAGAAUGUAUCUGAUAGUAACUGAUCAGGUAGUGGCGGUAUCCAACCAGAAAGCCACGGCUAACUACGU
rnacentral:rRNA from 1 species